rnacentral:rRNA from 1 species
UACAGAGGAUGCAAGCGUUAUCCGGAAUGAUUGGGCGUAAAGCGUCUGUAGGUGGCUUUUUAAGUCCGCCGUCAAAUCCCAGGGCUCAACUCUGGACAGGCGGUGGAAACUACCAAGCUGGAGUACGGUAGGGGCAGGAGGGAAUUUCCGGGUGGAGCGGUGAAAUGACGUAGAGAUCGGAAAGAACACCAACGGCGAAAGCACUCUGCUGGGCCGACACUGACACUGAGAGACGAAAGCUAGGGGAGCGAAUGGG